GAUGAACGCUGGCGGCGUGCCUAAUACAUGCAAGUCGAGCGAACGGACGAGAAGCUUGCUUCUCUGAUGUUAGCGGCGGACGGGUGAAUAACACGUGGAUAACCUACCUAUAAGACUGGGAUAACUUCGGGAAACCGGAGCUAAUACCGGAUAAUAUUUUGAACCGCAUGGUUCAAAAGUGAAAGACGGUCUUGCUGUCACUUAUAGAUGGAUCCGCGCUGCAUUAGCUAGUUGGUAAGGUAACGGCUUACCAAGGCAACGAUGCAUAGCCGACCUGAGAGGGUGAUCGGCCACACUGUAACUGAGACACGGGCCAGACUCCUACGGGAGGCAGCAGUAGGGAAUCUUCCGCAAUGGGCGAAAGCCUGACGGAGCAACGCCGCGUGAGUGAUGAAGGUCUUCGGAUCGUAAAACUCUAUUAUUAGGGAAGAACAUAUGUGUAAGUAACUGUGCACAGCUUGACGGUACCUAAUCAGAAAGCCACGGCUAACUACGUG
rnacentral:rRNA from 1 species